UACGAGUGGUGCAAGCGUUAUUCGGAAUCAUUGGGCGUAAAGGGUGUGUAGACGGCAUGUUAAGUCAGUUGUUAAAUUCUUCGGCCUAACCGAAGGGCUGCAACAGAUACUGGUGUGCUUGAGGAUGGAAGAGAGAAGUGGAAUUCUCGGAGUAGCGGUAAAAUGCGUAGAUCUCGAGAGGAACACCAAUGGCGAAGGCAGCUUCUUGGUCCAUUUCUGACGUUGAAACAUGAAAGCGUGGGGAGCAAACAGG
rnacentral:rRNA from 1 species